rnacentral:rRNA from 1 species
GUAGCGGCGAGCGAACGGGGAGCAGCCCAGAGCCUGAAUCAGUGUGUGUGUUAGUGGAAGCGUCUGGAAAGGCGCGCGAUACAGGGUGACAGCCCCGUACACAAAAAUGCACAUGCUGUGAGCUCGAUGAGUAGGGCGGGACACGUGGUAUCCUGUCUGAAUAUGGGGGGACCAUCCUCCAAGGCUAAAUACUCCUGACUGACCGAUAGUGAACCAGUACCGUGAGGGAAAGGCGAAAAGAACCCCGGCGAGGGGAGUGAAAAAGAACCUGAAACCGUGUACGUACAAGCAGUGGGAGCACGCUUAGGCGUGUGACUGCGUACCUUUUGUAUAAUGGGUCAGCGACUUAUAUUCUGUAGCAAGGUUAACCGAAUAGGGGAGCCGAAGGGAAACCGAGUCUUAACUGGGCGUUAAGUUGCAGGGUAUAGACCCGAAACCCGGUGAUCUAGCCAUGGGCAGGUUGAAGGUUGGGUAACACUAACUGGAGGACCGAACCGACUAAUGUUGAAAAAUUAGCGGAUGACUUGUGGCUGGGGGUGAAAGGCCAAUCAAACCGGGAGAUAGCUGGUUCUCCCCGAAAGCUAUUUAGGUAGCGCCUCGUGAAUUCAUCUCCGGGGGUAGAGCACUGUUUCGGCAAGGGGGUCAUCCCGACUUACCAACCCGAUGCAAACUGCGAAUACCGGAGAAUGUUAUCACGGGAGACACACGGCGGGUGCUAACGUCCGUCGUGAAGAGGGAAACAACCCAGACCGCCAGCUAAGGUCCCAAAGUCAUGGUUAAGUGGGAAACGAUGUGGGAAGGCCCAGACAGCCAGGAUGUUGGCUUAGAAGCAGCCAUCAUUUAAAGAAAGCGUAAUAGCUCACUGGUCGAGUCGGCCUGCGCGGAAGAUGUAACGGGGCUAAACCAUGCACCGAAGCUGCGGCAGCGACGCUGAUGCGUUGUUGGGUAGGGGAGCGUUCUGUAAGCCUGCGAAGGUGUGCUGUGAGGCAUGCUGGAGGUAUCAGAAGUGCGAAUGCUGACAUAAGUAACGAUAAAGCGGGUGAAAAGCCCGCUCGCCGGAAGACCAAGGGUUCCUGUCCAACGUUAAUCGGGGCAGGGUGAGUCGACCCCUAAGGCGAGGCCGAAAGGCGUAGUCGAUGGGAAACAGGUUAAUAUUCCUGUACUUGGUGUUACUGCGAAGGGGGGACGGAGAAGGCUAUGUUGGCCGGGCGACGGUUGUCCCGGUUUAAGCGUGUAGGCUGGUUUUCCAGGCAAAUCCGGAAAAUCAAGGCUGAGGCGUGAUGACGAGGCACUACGGUGCUGAAGCAACAAAUGCCCUGCUUCCAGGAAAAGCCUCUAAGCAUCAGGUAACAUCAAAUCGUACCCCAAACCGACACAGGUGGUCAGGUAGAGAAUACCAAGGCGCUUGAGAGAACUCGGGUGAAGGAACUAGGCAAAAUGGUGCCGUAACUUCGGGAGAA